GAAUAUGAGGGCUGUGACAUCUGUCACUCCAUUGAUCACCAGAGUUGAUUUGAGUGUUCUGACUUGUUAGGAGGGUAUCUCCUUCCUCCCUUACUGCUCCAUGUGUGUCCCUCCUGAAGCUGUGUGCUCUGUCAAGAGGAUGACAUUUCCUGAGUAGAAGAGGACCUGGGCCUGGUGUUCAGAAUAGACUAAGGUAUAGGAGUAGCUGUACUCCACUGCUUGAACCUCCAAACGAGCUCUCAAGGUCAAUCCAGAACAUAGAAGACUCUCUGUCAUUAGUAGAUAUUAAAUGAAUAAUUUUUUUUAUU
rnacentral:snRNA from 1 species